UUUUUUUUUUUUUUUUUUAAAGUACUUUUACUUUCUCUAGACUUGCAGCUAGAAAGCGAACAGGCAUGUCAUGAAACAUUGGUUGAAUAAAUGAUUACAAAUGGGCAGUCGUAGUAUUCAAAU
rnacentral:ribozyme from 1 species